rnacentral:rRNA from 1 species
GAUGAACGCUGGCGGCGUGCUUAACACAUGCAAGUCGAACGAAGCACUUUAACCUGAUUCUUCUGAUGAAGGUUUUUGUGACUGAGUGGCGGACGGGUAACUAACGCUUGGUUAACCUGCCUCAUACAGGGGUUUAACAGUUAGAAAUGACUGCUACUACCGCAUAAGACCACAGAGCCGCAUGUCUCGCUGGGAAAAACUCCGGUGGUAUGAGAUGGACCCUCGUCUGAUUAGGUAGUUGGUGGGGUAACGGCCUACCAAGCCAACGAUCAGUAGCCGAGAUGAGAGGGUGACCCGAGACAUUUGGACUGAGACACAGCACAAAAUACGACGGGAGGGAGGAGAGGGGAAUAUUGCACAAUGGGGGAAAAGCUGAAGCAGCGACGCCGGGUGAGAGAAGAAGUAGGUAGGUAAGUAAAGCUGUAUCAGAAGGGAAGAAAAUGACGGUACCGGACGAAGAAGCACCGGCUAAAUACGUG